rnacentral:rRNA from 1 species
UACGUAGGUGACAAGCGUUGUCCGGAUUUACUGGGCGUAAAGAGCGCGCAGGCGGUCGAUCAAGUCGAGUGUGAAAGCCCCCGGCUCAACUGGGGAGGGUCAUUCGAUACUGAUCGACUCGAAGGCAGGAGAGGGUAGUGGAAUUCCCGGUGUAGUGGUGAAAUGCGUAGAUAUCGAGAGGAACACCUGCGGCGAAGGCGGGUUGCUGGGCUGACACUGACGCUGAUGUGCGAAAGCUAGGGGAGCGAACGGG